rnacentral:rRNA from 1 species
GACGAACGCUGGCGGCGCGCCUAACACAUGCAAGUCGAACGGAGCUGAGAGAAGCUUGCUUUUCUUAGCUUAGUGGCGAACAGGUGAGUAAAGCGUGAGUAAACUGCCCUGGAGUGGGGGACAACAUUUGGAAACGACUGCUAAUACCGCAUAAGCCCGCGAUCCGGCAUCGGAUUGAGGGACAAGGAUUUAUUCGCUUCAGGAUGGACUCGCGUCCAAUUAGCUAGUUGGUGAGGUAACGGCCCACCAAGGCGACGAAUGGUAGCCGGACUGAGAGGUUGAACGGCCACAUUGGGACUGAGACACGGCCCAGACUCCUACGGGAGGCAGCAGUGGGGGAUAUGGCACAAUGGGUGAAACCCUGAUGCAGCGACGCCGCGUGGAGGAAGAAGGUUUUCGGAUUGUAAACUCCUGUCGGUAGGGACGAUAAUGACUGUACCUAACAAGAAAGCACCGGCUAACUACGU